rnacentral:rRNA from 1 species
AAAAGCUCAAAUUUGAAAGCUAGCGUCUUUUAGGCGUUCGCGUUGUAAUUUGAAGAUGGCAACUUUGGCAGCGGUCUUUACAUAUGUUCCUUGGAAUAGGACGUCAUAGAGGGUGAGAACCCCGUAUAUGGUAUGGAUCCCGCUGCUUUGUAAAGUGCUUUCUAAGAGUCGAGUUGUUUGGGAAUGCAGCUCUAAGUGGGUGGUAAAUUCCAUCUAAGGCUAAAUAUAGGCGAGAGACCGAUAGCGAACAAGUACAGUGAUGGAAAGAUGAAAAGAACUUUGAAAAGAGAGUGAAAAAGUACGUGAAAUUGUUGAAAGGGAAGGGCUUGAGAUCAGACUUGGCUUGUAGUGAUCAACUAUCUCUAGGGAUUGUGCACUCGCUACUUGCUAGGCCAGCAUCAGUUUUGGCAGUGGGAUAAUAGCAGCGGAAUGUGACUUUGCUUCGGGAAAGUGUUAUAGCCGCAUGCUGAUACCACUAGCUGAGACUGAGGUCUGCGUCUUUGUACUAGGAUGCUGGCAUAAUGAUCUUAAGCCACCCGUCUUGAAACACGGACCAAGGAGUCUAACGUCUAUGCGAGUGUUUGGGUGUAAAACCCUUGCGCGUAAUGAAAGUGAACGUAGAGGAGAACUUGUACUAGUGCAUCCUCGACCGAUCCUGACGUAUUCAGAUGGAUUUGAGUAAGAGCAUAGCUGUUGGGACCCGAAAGAUGGUGAACUAUGCCUGAAUAGGGUGAAGCCAGAGGAAACUCUGGUGGAGGCUCGUAGCGAUUCUGACGUGCAAAUCGAUCGUCAAAUUUGGGUAUAGGGCGA